rnacentral:rRNA from 1 species
GUAGUCCUGGCUGUAAACGAUGUCGACUUGGAGGUUGUGCCCUUGAGGCGUGGCUUCCGGAGCUAACGCGUUAAGUCGACCGCCUGGGGAGUACGGCCGCAAGGUUAAAACUCAAAUGAAUUGACGGGGGCCCGCACAAGCGGUGGAGCAUGUGGUUUAAUUCGAUGCAACGCGAAGAACCUUACCUGGUCUUGACAUCCACGGAAGUUUUCAGAGAUGAGAGUGUGCCUUCGGGAACCGUGAGACAGGUGCUGCAUGGCUGUCGUCAGCUCGUGUUGUGAAAUGUUGGGUUAAGUCCCGCAACGAGCGCAACCCUUAUCCUUUGCUGCCAGCGGUCCGGCCGGGAACUCAAAGGAGACUGCCAGUGAUAAACUGGAGGAAGGUGGGGAUGACGUCAAGUCAUCAUGGCCCUUACGACCAGGGCUACACACGUGCUACAAUGGCGCAUACAAAGAGAAGCGACCUCGCGAGAGCAAGCGGACCUCAUAAAGUGCGUCGUAGUCCGGAUUGGAGUCUGCAACUCGACUCCAUGAAGUCGGAAUCGCUAGUAAUCGUGGAUCAGAAUGCCACGGUGAAUACGUUCCCGGGCCUUGUACACACCGCCCGUCACACCAUGGGAGUGGGUUGCAAAAGAAGUAGGUAGCUUAACCUUCGGGAGGGCGCUUACCACUUUGUGAUUCAUGACUGGGGUGAAGUCGUAACAAGGUAACCGUAGGGGAACCUGCGGCUGGAUCACCUCC